CGGCACAGAGGGAAGCCAGGUGGCGACACCGCGCGGAACCCGAAAGCCGUUCUCAGUUCGGAUCGGAGUCUGCAACCCGACUCCGUGAAGCUGGAUUCGCUAGUAAUCGCGCAUCAGCCAUGGCGCGGUGAAUACGUUCCCGGGCCUUGUACACACCGCCCGUCAAGCCAUGGGAGCCGGGGGUGCUUGAAGUGCGUCGCCGCAAGGCGCGCCCUAGAGCAAAACCGGUGACUGGGGCUAAGUCGUAACAAGGUAAC
rnacentral:rRNA from 1 species